rnacentral:misc_RNA from 1 species
GAAAUGCGAUAAGUAAUGUGAAUUGCAGAAUUCAGUGAAUCAUCGAAUCUUUGAACGCACCUUGCGCUCCUUGGUAUUCCUUGGAGCAUGCCUGUUUGAGUAUCAUGAAAUCUUCAAAGUAAAUCUUUUGUUAACUCAAUUGGUUUCUACUUUGGUAUUGGAGGUCUUUGCAGCUUCACACCUGCUCCUCUUUGUUCAUUAGCUGGAUCUCAGUGUUAUGCUUGGUUCCACUCGGCGUGAUAAGUUAUCUAUCGCUGAGGACACUGUAAAAGGUGGCCAGGGUAAAUGCAGAUGAACCGCUUCUAAUAGUCCAUUGACUUGGACAAUACUUUUAUGAUCUGAUCUCAAAUCAGGUAGGACUACCCGCUGAACUUAAGC